rnacentral:rRNA from 1 species
UAGCUUCAGCGAUGGAUGGAUCGAUUCGCGUAUCGAUGAAAAACGCAGCUAGCUGCGUUAUUUACCACGAAUUGCAGACGCUUAGAGUGGUGAAAUUUUGAACGCAUAGCGCAUCGGCACGUCUGGUUCAGGGUUG